rnacentral:rRNA from 1 species
ACGCUCGACACCUACGGAGGCAGCAGUGGGGAAUAUUGCACAAUGGAGGAAACUCUGAUGCAGCGAUGCCGCGUGAGGGAAGAAGGUUUUCGGAUUGUAAACCUCUGUCUUUGGGGACGAUAAUGACGGUACCCAAGGAGGAAGCUCCGGCUAACUACGUGGCAGCAGACGCGGUAAUCUGAGGCGGGCUGGCAAGGC